CACGACAUACGACGGCAUCUCUAUGCACUAGCCAAACAAUACGUUAGUAGCAAUUCACAGAGACAUACAAGUUCAUUAAAGUUUAAUAUUACAACUAUAACAGCACGAUUCAUGGUCCUACUAAUAAAUAGCAUCGAUUACAUAUAAGUUGAAUGACUGUCCAAACCAAAGAGACAUACAAGUUCUUUAAAGUUUAAUAUUACAACAUGAAUUAGUAGCAAUUCACGGAGCGUGGAUGAAGCCACCGUCUUUCGUGAUGGUCAUGAAAUCGCGGUCGUUGUCAGCCUGCAUUUGUAGCGUUGUUUCUAUCUCACUAUUGGACGGUUGAAAUCUGAGGUAGAACUGCCCCGAGGUACGAAGGACAUCUUGAUUGAUGAUUUACGCAAACUCUAACUGGAUGCGAAAGAAUUCUUGACUGAUGUCCGCGUCCUGGAUUGCCGACAAGCGUGCGGCCCAAUCUUUGAGAUUAUUUGGUAGCCGAAGGUGAUUAUGGUCCCGUAUGAUCGCCCGGAUGUGAUGGAGGGCGUAGUAGGCAUACUUCUGACCGCCAGGCGGCUGCUUGACGCAGGGGAACGUCGUAUUGUGGGUGAACACGUGUUGGCCGUACCUACGAAUUGUCCUGCUGAAGGUGCCUCCAUAUCUAGCGUAGCCGGGAAGAGCUUCAUCAAGAACUUUCUUGAUAUUUGUGUAGCCUUUUUUCGACUGACGGUCCGAGUCGAAAUACGUGGUCAUGGAAUAUUUCGGGCUUAAGAGGAUGAGUGUGCAAUGUGUGUCACUACACAAAACACGGAAUGUUAUAAAAAAAAGAACGAUCGAAAUCUAAGAAAUCAUAUGUCACGGGGCGGUGAGGGGAUAACUUACUCGGGAAAGUUAUCCUUAUCUGGGUUUGCUAGAAUGACGCCUUCGAGGAAGUUAUCCUUAUCUGGGUUUGCCAGAAUGACGCCUUCGAGGUAUGAACUCGCGACUUGUCGGUCCCCAGCGCAGCCCAAGAUCUUGGCACGCAUAUAGAAGGGGUCGACUAUCACGAUGUCCGGGGGUCUUGUCUCUAAUGAUCCGCAUCUCCAUACUCAGCGAAAAUAGCCGAAUGAAGGUGUAGUGCAGCGGAUGAAGGUUAAACAUAGCGAAGAUGUCAGCAAACCGCAGGACGAUCAUACCCCCGAUGGCGCUAUCGACAAAGCUCUUGCCCUCUGGCACCUUGGCCACGAAAACCGGGUAUGCCACAUCAUUCUCGGAGAGACGCCGCUUCUCCAAAGAAAGAACAAUGUCAUGCAGACUCCGCAUAGCACCGGUUGUAGCAUUGAGCAGAUUAGUCGGUAGCAUCGGCCUACCAGCCAAAUGCACCCUCCUCGAGAUAUCCUUAGGUGAAGGUGGCCCGUCCGGAGCACGGAUCGUACUCGGUGCCGGCUGGCUCGCACCCUUGUUAGUCUUUCUUUUCCGUCCCUUCUUUUUCUGCUACUGUAAUGGGAUCGAGUUCUGCUCAGAGACCACCUUCUUGGGUGUGUUGGGGCUGAUAAUAUUUCGCACCUCGGCUAUCUAAGGCUCGGUGAAGGCGGCAGCUGGAGGCGUCUCCUGAGAACUAAACGCCAGACGACGCCUGUUGCAAUUGGGUUGCUCCGCGGUACUAGCUAGAUCGCGGUCGUCUUUUGCAGGGUUGAGUUCUUGAGAAGGAGGCCCCAAGAACUCCUCAUCGUACCCAUGUUCGGCAAAGUACUUAUCGAACUUGGUAAAUGUAUCGUCGUCGUCGUCGUCGUCCGGAUCCUGUGCCAUAUGCAUUUCCGGAUCCUGUGCCAUAUGCAUGUCCGGCAUGUCCGGUAGCGUUGCGGCGGUCUUGCCAUGGCUUGGCGCCGGCACCACUGGCGGUGUUGUCUGUGGGGUGGUGUCCCCUGCCCCCAAAUGAAUCUGGCUCUUCGGCCAAAGCAGGGGCCAGCUUAAGCAGGCGCUAAGAGUCAUCACAUCAUCUUCGUCGGCCCCAGCGGGUCGGAACGGAGGUAACAAGUCGUCGCAGCCUGGCAGCACCCGAACCAGUUGAACCCUAUACACGGUGGGUGGCAUCGGAUUACCGUGGAACACGGGGUUGCCCGGUUGAACGAUUCUGCCCUUGGCGACAUCGAUCAACUCGCCACCCACGAAGUGCAGGAGAGUGCAUGGAACGUCGGCGCCGGCGCCCUGCGAAAACAUGUAGGGCGUCAGGGGAUGCCCAGUCAAAGGCAAGGAGAUGAAGUCAUCGGCCGAGAGAGGCUUAGUUACCAUGAUGGCGUCGAGCUCGGCUAAUGUCGAGGCACCGGCAACGGCGGGCGUGCAAGUGACGGAGGGGCCUCUUGCUACCGAGGUGCCGGCCGGCGGAUUCUUUGCACACCCGGGUGCAUUAAUAAGCUCCAAUGCCCGUGCCGGCGUCGGAGACACCAAUGGCACCGGCGUCGGAGACACCAAUGGCACCGCCUGCGCAUUGUGCGAGUUGCUGGUCGUGAAGCUGGGAACCGGGGGCGACCCCUGUUGGCCGCCCGCAAUCCACGCCUGCAGCCCCUUAAUCAAGGUAGGCACAAUGACGGUGAUCACCCCUCCCAGUUGGUGUUGCACUUGCUCUUGGACCAUCUCCGGAAUCCGCACCACUUGUGCCCUGAGAUCUUGAACCUCGCGCGACUGGCUUUGUAAGUUGGUCUUUCUCUCCUUUCGCCCACCAACGUUAUAGUAUGACGACCAUUUCAUGGACAAGCCUUUGCCGGCCACACGACCAGCUGACGACGGCUUACUGGACUUAUCCUUGUUUUUCAUUACGUUCAACGCCCUAUUCAAAGUGUUGUCCCAAGGGGAGCUCUGAGAUGAUCCCGCGCUACUCCUUUCAGUACCUGUGGAAGGAAUGUGAACCAUUUAGAAAUUUGGCUUCAUUAAUUAGGAUGCAACCAUAUGGAGCUAAUUACGCGGGGGUGUAUUCCGUACCAGAACAAGCUCAAGCGCCCUGGUCUUCGCAUCCACGGUAAGCUCCUUUGUUACCAGGUCCACCUUGUACCGGGCCUUGACAUAGUUCCUGGUCAGCUUGUCACCGUAUUUCUCGAAGCGGGGUGGUAGGCCUUGCUCGGCACGCUCCGCGUCCUCCUUGUCCUAUAUAGGUUCCACCACUGUGUGACCGCCGGGACCGAGUUGGUGGACCCCUAAGUUCAACUCCCGCAUUUAUUUCCCCCACUGACUUGAUUCCACGGUUGUGUUGCUCUCGCACUUGAUCUUGAACUCCUUGUAGUCAUCUUCGCUGAUCGAAGGAUUUUUCGCCUUGAUCUUCUCAUAACUAUCACAUUUGUCAAUCAUUCUCUUCACCACGCUUCUGCAAGUGGACAGGGCCGUGCUCAUCUUCCUGAGGGCGGCAUUGUUCAUUGUAUUCCCUGAGAGGCGUGUGUUUGCGACGUCACCGGGGAACUUGUCUCGUUCGUGCAGCUUCGUGAAGAGGAGGUUGCGCAAAUUCCCUCGGUCCUUAUGCCUUAGGUUCUAGGUGUUGAUCGAUACGGUGCUCCGGAGAAUGCACCCGAGCUGAAGCGCGUACCCCUUGACUAUUUCUUUGGGCGCCGUUGGAUACCCGUCGGAGUUCACUUCAGUAAAUUCCUCCUUGACGGUGUCGAGCACGUUCGGGCGCCGUUCCUUCAGUUGCCUCUUCGAUUGGCUGCCAUUUGUGCGUGCGCUGCCAUCAUCAGUGGUGGCAUCCUCGGCGGCACCAUCAGUGGUGUCAUCCCUGACGCCACUAGGGGUUGUGUAGUCGGGAUCGGUGUCUUCCGCGGCGUCGUCAUAGCGGUUAGGUUCUUCCUCCAUCUCCUGGGACAGCUCCCAGAAUGCCUUGCCCGAACCGUCGGCCUCAUCGUUUUGGGCCAUGUUUCGCUCUAAAUAGGAAAAAAGUUUGGUCAAAAAGUUGGUUAUUGUCAAGGAACAAGAUCAUGGUCUCAUCAUUUAGGGUUUGUCGACACCGAGGCAUCCUAAAAGCUAAGCUUUUAUCAUUUAGGGUUUGUCGAUGCCGAGGCACCCUAAAAGCCUAAGCUUUCAUCAUUUAGGUUUUUAUCGACACCGAGGCACCCUAAAAGCCAAGGUUUUAUAAUUUAGGGUUUGUCGACGCUAAGGCACCCUAAAUGCUAAGUUAAGUUUUCAUCAUUUAGGGUUUAUCGAUGCCGAGGCACCCUAGGUUGACUGAUAUAUAUGGGUAUCUUCUAAUAAUAUACCCUAUCAAGAAAAGGGAAGGAGAAUUCUAAGUUGGGCCUAAUCACUUAGCUCUAUUGCCACCUAUGGUUUAAUGCACCAAGAAUAAAGGGGCAGUUGAUCCUACUUAAUUAAGUACUAAGAUACCCCGGCCCAUGCAUUAGUCGCAAGUACCCCAUAUGUCCUAUUUUUAGCAAAGUAAUGCUAAAAUUCACGGAAAAUUUCAGCUUGACCUUUGCUGAAAAUAGGACAUAUGGAGUACCCAAAUUUGCCGGAACAGAAGUUAAUCGACAUUCCGGCAAACUCAAGGGUCUCUCGGGGUACGUGCAAAAUCAUCACGACACGAUGGUCGGAGACAAAACCCAGCAAACUAGCACCACAAUGUGCCUCUACUUUCAUAUGGAUGAAAAGGCCACAGACCAUAUGGUCCUCUGCUUUCAUAUGGACAAAAAUCAGCUCAACUUAUGUGAGCUUCCAUUCCAGAUCUAAUAGGUCACCCAACAAAAAAUCAUCAAUAGUUUAGCAAGUCUGUACCCUCAAGAAUGAACAUAUAGCAAUAUCUAUUGUCCCCCCAUAACAUACGAAAAUCAAAAUCAGCUCAACUUAGAUGACAAUGUAUAUACUUUAUCACAUUAUAUAGAUGGUGCAACAACGUAUAUACUUUAUCACAUUAUAAGUCCUCACACCAUUAACUAUGACAAAAUCUGAAAGUAUAAGUCUGGUUACAUUCACCCAAGUCCAAACAUAAAAUUCUGUCCAACAUAGUACAACCCACUUUGAUAAUUUCAUAGGAUUUAAUAUACCGAACGAAACCUGACAAGUGAUAUGUGUUUCAAGUAUCAACAGAACAGCCUCUAAAAUUUUCAUGUUGUAACUUUAUUUUAAUACCACCUCUAACAGGGCCUUAUCUCCCAUAUCGAAAUACGGUACCCAGGAACAUAUAUUUCGGCACAGCAAACUAAACUGAUAGCUGCUCUCAAACCGUACAUCCAAACGACACAAAUAAAUACUCUAAAGAAACCUUGAAACUUUAUCUAAAACUUAUGUAAAGGGGCCAACUCAAAAUUCUGAGCCUAGCUAACUCAUUUUUCAGAUAUAAGCUUGCUUAUUUUCCAUUGCACCUGAAGAACUAGCUGUUGUUGCUCGUGUGCCCGUGCUGCUGAUGCUCCUCUUGUGCUGAUCCAAGUGGCUGUGUUGUGCUGCUGCUGAUUAGAACAAUUUUGCUCCUCUGCACUCUGAAGAAGGUACUCUGUCAGAGUAUUGUACCUGAAAAUUAAUGAAGUUUAUUCAGUGUUAACUGAAUCAUGACAAUGCCAAUAAAGGAGUCAAUUCAGUUGUUAACUUAAAAUUCAUGAAGUACAUUCAUUUUAAUACAAAAACUGUUGCUGAUCGUUGUGAACAAAAAUCAUGGAUUGAUGUUAACUCAAAAGUAGUGAAAGAAAUUGUUGCUGAUCAUGGAUUACUGUUAAGUAAAAUAGAGCAUCUCGCUUGUCUUAUCAUGUUGAGUAAAAUGAAUGACACUGUGUUGCGCUGCUGCUUGACUUAUCAAUUAGUGUGAACUCUGAAAUAGCAUGAAUAUUUGAAACGACAUGCCUCUAAAUGACACUUGAGUAAAAUGAAUACUUGCAGGUUCAUCCAACGUAUUGCUACACUAAUAGUAAAACGAAUACCUGCAGGUUAGUGUUAGUACUCCAAAACUUGAGUCUCAUGAAUGAUGAGUCUCAUUUACUGAAUUUACUCCAACACUAAGUCCACAAAAAUGAAUCGGUUCAGUAAACUUGAAGUACUCAACACUGAACAUGGUUCAGAGCUCACUACACUACACUACAUCGCGCAAUGGUUCAGACCUCACUAAACUAGAACAAGCUCACUACACUACACUACACUACACUACACAUGCUUAAACUCUGAACAUAAACAAACACCAGUAAUGCCAGACCAAGACUUUGCUCGAAAAUUCUAAGAAGUAUUUAUGAGUUUUAGCUGACCUGAGGAACUCUGCAAGAAUGGUUAGGUACCCCUGAUAAAUGCAGUAAAAAAGAAGGCAAUGCAAUUAGACAUGUCUUGAUGAAGCCAUUUACAGCAGCGUUCAACUGAACAUACAACUGAACAUAAAUGCAGUAAAACAGAAGGCAAUGUAGUUACUUCCUAUUACUUCCUACUAGUUCGAAUUCGUGGCACUCACCCUUCUAGACAAUAUAUAAACUACCUCUGUUUCUAGGCAACAAGAGUUAUCAUCAGUUUAGUUUUUGGUCGUGGUAACAAAGAAAACAGAGCUUGAGUGCUUGACAACACAAUAACAAAAGUUAUCAUCUGUUCAGUUUAGUUUUCUUCAUUCGCUUGUGUGUGUGUGUGUGCACCCAUUGUUGGUUCGUUCAUGCUCUGAAACUGAAAACUAAAUCUGGUAGUUUGAAAACUGAAAACAGAGCUAUGCUGAUGAACAUGAACCAACUCCAAAAUUAAGCUAGUUUGGAGCACCAGACACCAGGGGAGCAAGCUCAGUCGAGAGGGAUGGGCCAUGGAGUUGAUCAGGUGGGAUAAAGUUCCAUCACAUAGUAACAAGCUCAGGAGAGCGUAAGCAAGUCAUUUUUUUUAACUGAAACCAAGUGUCUUAGUACAAACUACUGAUCAACAGCACAAACCUAAGAAUCUAACAGGAGGAGAUCGAAGCAGUGAGGGAGCGAGGGGACGGUGCCGUACCUCGCGGGAUGGAUUCGGUCGCGGCUUGAACUCGGUUGUGGAUCCAGGCGAGGAGAAGGGAGGUGGGAGCUCUGGCGCCGGUGCCGCGAGACGGUCGGCAUGCAGUGGAUUAUUUUUUCCCUCGGCGUCGUCGAUCUGGACCUGGAAGAGGAUGGAUUAACCAAGGUAAGCGCAAAAAUCUCUGCAUAGGGCAAGGGGCGAAGGCGCCGGCGGCUUCAUACAAGGAGAUCGAAGGCGAAGCACGUAGGGCAAGGGGUGGUCGUAGUCGUACAUGUACCUGGCUAGCACAUAAUGGAUCUGUCGCGGAGGAACCCAGCACCUGGCCCGGUGAGGAGAAGCUCAGGCGUCGGCGACGCGUGCACCGCGAGACAAGGGCAGCAGUGGAGUGAGAACUGAGAAGCAAGAUGGGAGGCGCGGGGGCGCAGCGGCGGUCAGUGGGCGGGUGAGAGAUGGAUUGGGGAAGAUAGAAAGGGGACUGGGGAUUUUAGUUGGGG
rnacentral:lncRNA from 1 species